CUAAGUUUGAUGGCGACCGGCGCACGGGUGAGUAACACGUAUCCAACCUGCCGAUAACUCGGGGAUAGCCUUUCGAAAGAAAGAUUAAUACCCGAUGGCAUAGUUCUUCCGCAUGGUAGAACUAUUAAAGAAUUUCGGUCAUCGAUGGGGAUGCGUUCCAUUAGGUUGUUGGCGGGGUAACGGCCCACCAAGCCUUCGAUGGAUAGGGGUUCUGAGAGGAAGGUCCCCCACAUUGGAACUGAGACACGGUCCAAACUCCUACGGGAGGCAGCAUG
rnacentral:rRNA from 1 species